UACGGAGGGGGCUAGCGUUGUUCGGAAUUACUGGGCGUAAAGGGCGCGUAGGCGGCACAGCAAGUCGGGAGUGAAAGCCCGGGGCUCAACCCCGGAAUGGCUUUCGAAACUGCUGAGCUAGAGUACAGAAGGGGCAACCGGAAUUCCCAGUGUAGCGGUGAAAUGCGUAGAUAUUGGGAAGAACACCUGAGGCGAAGGCGGGUUGCUGGGCUGAUACUGACGCUGAGGCGCGAAAGCCAGGGGAGCAAACGGG
rnacentral:rRNA from 1 species